rnacentral:rRNA from 1 species
UGUGUAGGCGGGACCGUAAGUCAGAGGUGAAAUCCUGCAGCUCAACUGUAGAACUGCCUUUGAUACUGCGGCUCUUGAAUCUCGGAGAGGUCAUUAGAAUUCGUGGUGUAGCGGUGAAAUGCGUAGAUAUCACGAGGAAUACCAGAGGCGUAGGCGGAUGACUGGACGAGUAUUGACGCUGAGGCACGAAAGCGUGGGGAGCAAACAGGAUUAGAUACCCUGGUAGUCC